GGGUGUAUAGCUCAGUAGGUAGAGCAUUUGACUUUUAAUCAAGUGGUCUUAGGUUCAACCCCUAAUACACCCA
rnacentral:tRNA from 1 species